rnacentral:lncRNA from 1 species
AGUAUUCAACCCCUUUUUUAUUUGCAAGACUAAAUAAGUUCAGGAAUAAAAAUGUGCUUAACAAGUCACAUAAUAAGUUGCAUGGACUCAUUCGGUGUGGAAUAACAGUGUUUAACAUUAUUUUUGAAUGACUACCUCAUCUCUGUACCCCACACAUACAAUUAUCUGUAAGGUCCCUCAGUUGAGCAGUGAAUUUCAAACACAGAUUCAACCACAAAGACCAGGGAGGUUUUCCAAGGCCUGUUUACAACAAGGCACUAAAGUUAUCCUGCAAAACAUGUGGCAAAGCAAUUCACUUUUUGUCAUGAAUACAAAGUGUUAUGUUUGGGGCAAAUCCAAUACAACACAUUACUGAGUACCACUCUUCAUAUUUUCAAGCAUAGUGGUGGCUGCAUCAUGUUAUGGUUAUGCUUGGGGAGUUUUUCAGGAUAAAAAAGAAACGGAAUAAAGCUAAGCACAAGCAAAAUACUAGAGGAAAACCUUGUUCAGUCUGCUUUCCACCAGACCCUGGAAGAUGAAUUCACCUUUCAGCAGGACAAUAACCUAAAACUCAAGUCCAAAUCUACACUGGAGUUGCUUACUAAGAAGACAGCGAAUGUUCCUGAGUGGCUGAGUAACAUUUUUGACUUAAAUCUGCUGAAAAUCUAUGGCAAGACUUGAAAAUGGUUGUCUAGCAAUAAUCAACAACCAAUUUGACAGAGCUUGAAGAAUUCAGAAAAUACUAAUGGGCAAAUGUUACACAAUCCAGGUGUGGACAGCUCUUAGGUCGUGUCUACACUUGACACCUACAUACGACUUCUGCUAUCAGAAUACGAAGAUGGCAUUGAAAAGACGGGUCUAGAUGCACAAAAGUGGCUUUGUGGAGUUCUUGUGUUCAGAUCUGUGGGAUGCAUUAUGUGUGGAUUUCUCCUCAGUCUGGACGCAAUCAGGCUACCGAAAGUGCAUACAGUGGGCAACAUCAUCAGCACUCCUCCCACAAGUCUCCAGAAAACUUGUGUUUUGGACCGAGAGGUACCAUUUCAUUAUGAUGUUGGAAGAAAUACAUUCCUAGCGUGUGAGGAACGUGUUUGCUGGUCUCAUAAAAUGCUAGCCAGCUACCUAAUAUUUAGAAAAAAUAUUUUUUGUUUAGCUAGAGUUAUGCUAACCUACAGAGGUUAGCUGGCUAGUUAGCUACAGUAGUUAGCUACUGCCAUCAGUUGUUGUGUUAUAAUAUUUUGCCUAUUCCACCAUUUGUAGAAUGCCUACUGGCAUUUGGAUAUAUAGUAUGGGAAUGGGGAAUCCGGACACAUUGUUGGACACAUUUAAAUGUAGAUACAUGACAGAAUUCCAUGAUCAGAACUCUAAAGCUGCAUGAACUGUCAAGUCUAGACCCGGCCUUAUAGACUUACCCAGAAAGACUAACAGCUGUAAUCGCUACCGAAGACACUUAUAGAAAGCAUUGACUCACGGGGGUGAAUACUUAUGUUAAUGAGAUAUUUCUGUGUUUCAUUUUCAAUAAAUACUUACAGUACCAGUCAAAUGUUUGGACACACCUACUCAUUCAAGGGAUAUUAACUUUAUUUUUUACUAUUUUCUACAUUGUAGAAUAAUAGUGAAGACAUCAAAACUAUGAAAUAACACAUAUGGAAUCAUGUAGUAACCAAAAAAGUGUUAAACCAAUCAAAAUAGAUUUUAGAUUCUUCAAAGUAGCCACCCUUUGCCUUGAUGACAGCUUUGCACACUCUUGGCAUUCUCUCAAUCAGCUUCAUCUGAAAUGCUUUUCCAACAGUCUUGAAGAAGUUCACACAUAUGCUGAGCACUUGAUGGCUGCUUUUCCUUCACUCUGCAGGUCCAACUCAUCCCAAACCAUCUCAAUUGGUUUGAGGUUGGGUGAUUGUGGAGGCCAAGUCAUCUGAUGCAGCACUCCAUCACUCUCCUUCUUGGUCAAAUAGCCCUUACACAGCCUGGAGGAGUGUUGAGUCAUUGUCUUGUUGGAAAACAAAUGAUAGUCCCACUAAGGGCAAACCAGAUGGGAUGGUGUAUCGCUGCAUAAUGCUGUGGUAGCCAUGCUGGUUAAGUGUGCCUUGAAUUCCAAAUAACUCACAGACAGUGUCACCAGCAAAGCACCCCCACACCAUCACACCUCCUCCUCCAUGCUUCACGGUGGGAACCACACAUGCGGAGAUCAUCCGUUCACCUACUCUGCGUCUCACAAAGACACGGCGGUUAGAACAAAAAAUCUCAAAUUUGGACUCAUCAGACCAAAGGACAGAUUUCCACUGGUCUAAUGUCCAAUGCUCAUGUUUCUUGGACAAGCAAGUCUCUUCUUCUUAUUUGUGUCCUUAAUUAAGUAGUGGUUUCUUAGCAGCAAUUCGACCAUGAAGGCCUGAUUCAUGCAGUCUCCUCUGAACAGUUGACGUUGAGAUGUGUCUGUAACUUGAACUCUGUGAAGCAUUUAUUUGGGCUGCAAUUUCUGAGGCUGGUAAGUCUAAUGAACUUAUCCUCUGCAGCAGAGGUAACUCUGGGUCUUCCAUUCCUGUGGCGGUCCUCAUGAGAGCCAGUUUCAUCAUAGCACGUGAUGGCUUUUGCGAUUGCACUUGAAAAAACGUUAAAAGUUCUUGAAAUUUUCCGGAUUGACUGACCUUCAUGUCUUAAAGUAAUGAUGGACUGUCAUUUCUCUUUGCUUAUUUGAGGUGUUCUUGCCAUAAUAUGGACUUGGUCUUUUACCAAAUAGGGCUUUCUUCUGUAUACCACCCCUACCUUGUCACAACACAACUGAUUGGCUCAAACACAUUAAGAACAAAAUAAAUUCCACAAAUUAACUUUUAACAAGGCACCCCUCUUAAUUGAAAUGCUAUCUAGGUGACUACCUCAUGAAGAUGUUUGAGAGAAUGCCAAGAGUGUGCAAAGUUGUCAUCAAGGCAAAGGUUGGCUGCUUUGAAGAAUCUCAAUUAUAAAAUAUAUUUUGAUUUGUUUAACUAUUUAUUGGUUACUACAUGAUUCCAUGUGUUAUUUCAUCAUUUUCAUGUCUUCAAUAUUAUUCUACAAUGUAGAAAAUAGUUAAAAAAAAUAAGAAAACCCCUUGAAUGAGUAGGUGUGUGAAAACCUUUGACUGAUACUGUAUAUUUCAUCCAUUUUGAACUCAGCCUGUAACAUAACAAAAUGUGGAAUACGUCAAGGGGUAUGGAUACUUUCUGAAGGCAGUGUAAGUGAACAAGGUAAGGUUAAACCGUGGGAAAGAGACUAGGGGAGAUAGUAGCCAGAUAGAGAGGGCAUCAGUGAACAGCUAAGAGCCUGUACUUAGUGUCUUUAAAGAAAACGCUUUGAAAAGCCACUCACACUGUUAGUCUUUGAGCAGACCUCCCCAAACCUAUAAACUUAUAGAGAGAAAGAGGGAGGGAAGGACCAAAAGGGAGGAGUGUGUGUAUGUGUGUGUAAUGGUUUGUGAGUCGCUCCAGGGGGGUCUGUGCUAUGUAAGUGAUGAUGUGUGUGUUGAUGUUUGUAUGAUGAUAGGUUAGUUGUUCAGGAGGGUGUGUGUGUGUUGAUGUUAGUAUGAUGAUAGGUUAGUUGUUCAGGAGGGUGUGUGUUGAUGUUAGUAUGAUGAUAGGUUAGUUGUUCAGGAGGGUGUGUGUGUGUUGAUGUUAGUAUGAUGAUAGGUUAGUUGUUCAGGAGGGUGUGUGUGUGUUGAUGUUAGUAUGAUGAUAGGUUAGUUGUUCAGGAGGGUGUGUGUUGAUGUUAGUAUGAUGAUAGGUUAGUUGUUCAGGAGGGUGUGUGUGUGUUGAUGUUAGUAUGAUGAUAGGUUAGUUGUUCAGGAGGGUGUGUGUUGAUGUUAGUAUGAUGAUAGGUUAGUUGUUCAGGAGGGUGGGUGUGUGUUGAUGUUAGUAUGAUGAUAGGUUAGUUGUUCAGGAGGGUGUGUGUGUGUUGAUGUUAGUAUGAUGAUAGGUUAGUUGUUCAGGAGGGUGUGUGUUGAUGUUAGUAUGAUGAUAGGUUAGUUGUUCAGGAGGGUGGGUGUGUCUUUACGUGGGUUUUGGGAGGGAGUGAGUUUGUGUAUUUGGUUUGUAUGGACACCGGAAUGUAUUUAAGUGUUCAGUUUGAGAGUGUAUAUAGGUAGGCAGGUUUGAACAAGAGGGUUGACCAUGACAGAAACUAGGGUUGCAUCCCAAAUGGCACCCAAUAGCCUGCACAGUGCACUACUUUUGACCAGAGCCCUAUGGGGAAUAGGGUGCCAUUUGGGACGCAGCCUAGGGAAUCAAGGCCCUGGGCUUUAGAGGAUAGACAUUGUGACAGAGACCUGUGGCGUCUCCAGGACCUGACUCAUAGACCAGGAACUCAGAGUCAGGGAGAGACGAGGGUGGUGGGGGUCAGGGCGAGACGAGGGUGGUGGGUUUGGGACGAAGGUGGGGGAAGGGGGGUUAAUGGAACUUUUAUGGGUUUGUCGUGCAAUCAUGUGACCCCUGGCAUCUUUCCCCUUUCUCUCUCCCUUUCUCCCCCUUCUCUCUCCCUCUCUCACCCCUUCUCUCGGUCUCUCUCUCAAUUUCAAUUCAAAGGGAUUUAUUGGCAUGGCAAAUGGUGUUUGUUCUUCACUGGUUGACCUUUCCUUGUGGCAACAGGUCAUGCUGCUGUUGUGCUGUUGUUGUGAUGGCACACUGGUAUUUCAUCCAAUAGAUAUGAGAGUUUAUUAAGAUUGAAUGUGUUUUCAAAUUCUUUGUGGGUCUGUGUUAUCUGAGGGAAAUAGGUCUUUAAUAUGGUCAUACAUUUGGUUAGGAAGUGCAGCUCGGUUUCCAUCUAAUUUUGUGGGCAGUGGGCACAGUCUGCCUAUGGCGGCCUCUCUCAAUAGCAAAGCUAUGCUCACUGAGGCUGUACAUAGUCAAAGUUUUCUUCAAUUUGGGUCAGGUAUUCUGCCACUGUCAGGUAUUCUGCCACUGUGUACUCUCUGUUUAGAGCCAAAUAACAUUCCAGUUUGCUCAGUUUUUUUGUUGAUUCUUUACAAUGUUUCCAGCAUUAUCUUUUAGUUUUCUCAUUAUUUGGUUGGGUCUAAUUGUGUUUCUGUCCUGGGGCUCUGUGGGGUCUUUUUUGUUUGUGAACAACAGAGACCCCGUAUCAGCUGGCGAGGGAUUUGUUAUGGAAGGUUUGAGAAUAAUUUAUUUUUAGGUGGUUGUAGAAUUUAAUUGGUCUACAUUGAUUUUGAUAAUUAGGGGGAAUCAUCUUAAUUCUGCUCUGCAAGCAUUAUUGGGUGUUGUACAGGGAAGAUGUUUUUGCAGAAGAUCAUGGUGCUGCUGUAGGCCCUACUUGGUUGGGGACAGAAUCCCCAGAUCAUCCGCAAACUAGAUCUUCGAACGCAGUAAGAAGCAUAGAGUGAGUGCCAUGACCUGCUGCAGAAGAACAGUCAGAAAAUUGACCGUAAUCUCUCCUCUCUUCUGUCCAGCCCUCCUAUCCUCCACCAAAGCUUCCUCACUCUUCCCCUCCCCUCUCCUCUGUCCAGCCCUCCCC